AAGUCGUAACAAGGUUUCCGUAGGUGAACCUGCGGAAGGAUCAUUAGAAUGAGAACCGGACCACGUCGUGGGCGCAAGCCUGCACGUGUCAGUAAGCGCCCGUCAACCUCUACCCUUGUAUAUUAUUCUACUGUUGCUUUGGCAGGCCGCGAGCGCUACAGCUAGCGCCGGCCUCGGCUGGAGAGUGCCUGCCAGAGGACCCCAACUCUGUAAUUUAUGAUGUCUGAGUACUAUUAAAUAGUUAAAACUUUCAACAACGGAUCUCUUGGUUCUG
rnacentral:misc_RNA from 1 species